rnacentral:rRNA from 1 species
UACGUAGGGACCAAGCGUUGUCCGGAAUCAUUGGGCGUAAAGAGCGUGUAGGCGGCUUGUUAAGUCUUGCGUGAAAUCUCGGGGCUCAACCCCGAGCGGUCGUGAGAAACUGGCAGGCUAGAGUGCGGGAGAGGAGAGUGGAAUUCCCGGUGUAGCGGUGAAAUGCGCAGAUAUCGGGAAGAACACCCGUGGCGAAGGCGGUUCUCUGGGACGGUACUGACGCUGAGACGCGAAAGCGUGGGGAGCGAACAGG